UGCAGUCGAACGGCAGCACAGGUAGCAAUACCGGGUGGCGAGUGGCGGACGGGUGAGUAAUGCAUCGGGAUCUACCCAAACGUGGGGGAUAACGUAGGGAAACUUACGCUAAUACCGCAUACGUCCCAUGGGAGAAAGCGGGGGCUCGCAAGACCUCGCGCGGUUGGACGAACCGAUGUGCGAUUAGCUAGUUGGCGGGGUAAUGGCCCACCAAGGCGACGAUCGCUAGCUGGUCUGAGAGGAUGAUCAGCCACACUGGGACUGAGACACGGCCCAGACUCCUACGGGAGGCAGCAGUGGGGAAUAUUGGACAAUGGGCGCAAGCCUGAUCCAGCAAUGCCGCNUGUGUGAAGAAGGCCUUCGGGUUGUAAAGCACUUUUAUCAGGAGCGAAAUGCCAUGGGUCAAUACCCCGUGGAGCUGACGGUACCUGAGGAAUAAGCACCGGCUAACUUCGUGCCAGCAGCCGCGGUAAU
rnacentral:rRNA from 1 species